rnacentral:pre_miRNA from 1 species
AAUUGAUGACCCAGACAAGGACUAAUCAAGAUUGUCGAUCUAGUCCCUGCCUGGGUCACCAAUUGU